UAGAUAAAAACCAACUGGUUGAGGUGUUUAGCUGUUAACUAAUUAUUUAUGGGAUCGAGGCCCAUUUAUCUAG
rnacentral:tRNA from 1 species